CGGGAUGUAAUUCAGUGCCCAGAAGCCUUUGUUUGGGACAAAGGAGUCGCUGGUUGGAAUCCAGCCAUCCCGA
rnacentral:tRNA from 2 species